UCAGAGGCAGCUUGAUUGUAAGAAGUAGGCUCAACCAGUGCUGUGCUAACAGAGCUAUUGCAGCAAGUGGAAAAAGAACUGGUGCCAGAGAUGGAAGGAAGGAGGUCACAGAUGUAUUGUUGAAGAUGGGCAGGAGUGGUGUGGUGCCUGCCAGAUCUCCUAGGAGCAGGCAGCAGAGGGUCUGAAGAAGGAGAAGUGUGAACAGGAUUAUACAAGGGUAUGAUAUCAGAAGGUGGUGAAUUAGAGGUAGAGGAAGGGAAGGAAGGGGAAAUAUCAGAUGAUGAGGAAGGGCUGACUGAUGGUGCAUCAGCAAAAAAUGAUAGUCAGGGUAUGAAGGAUGAAUAGAAGAUGGAAUAGAUGCAUCAGCAGUAGAGGGAUAGUCAUGGCAUGAAGGAUGAAUA
rnacentral:lncRNA from 1 species